GUACACUCCUACGGGAGGCAGCAGUGGGGAAUUUUGGACAAUGGGCGAAAGCCUGAUCCAGCCAUGCCGCGUGCAGGAUGAAGGCCUUCGGGUUGUAAACUGCUUUUGUACGGAACGAAACGGCCUUUUCUAAUAAAGAGGGCUAAUGACGGUACCGUAAGAAUAAGCACCGGCUAACUACGUGCCAGCAGCCGCGGUAAUACGUAGGGUGCAAGCGUUAAUCGGAAUUACUGGGCGUAAAGCGUGCGCAGGCGGUUAUGUAAGACAGUUGUGAAAUCCCCGGGCUCAACCUGGGAACUGCAUCUGUGACUGCAUAGCUAGAGUACGGUAGAGGGGGAUGGAAUUCCGCGUGUAGCAGUGAAAUGCGUAGAUAUGCGGAGGAACACCGAUGGCGAAGGCAAUCCCCUGGACCUGUACUGACGCUCAUGCACGAAAGCGUGGGGAGCAAACAGGAUUAGAUACCCUUGUAGUCCCAU
rnacentral:rRNA from 1 species